UACAGAGGUCCCAAGCGUUACUGAGAAUCACUGGGUUUAAAGGGUGCGUAGGUGGUCCGUUAAGUCAGUUGUGAAAUCCCCGAGCUUAACUUGGGAAUUGCGCUCGAAACUAUGGAGCUGGAGUGUGGCAGAGGAAGGUGGAAUUCCACGUGUAGCGGUGAAAUGCGUAGAGAUGUGGAGGAACACCGAUGGCGAAGGCAGCCUUCUGGGCCAACACUGACGCUCAUGCACGAAAGCGUGGGGAGCAAACAGG
rnacentral:rRNA from 1 species